AGUCCUCAACCAUCUUGGGCGUCUUCCCCCGAUUCCUUGACAUACCAGGCUUGAUCGACCAAGACUUCACAAUGCUGUUUGGAGAGGAUGCAUCUGGCAAGUUCCUGGCGAAAUGGCCUCCUUUGUUCAGACCAGGGUCAUCGCAGACUGCAUGAACCUACCCCCCAGUGCCCAUUUGGAAGCCCUCCUCUCUUCUGCGCAGCACGACUCUGAUGAUUUGGACUAGGAUGGGACAGUGACUUGGCAGCCAUUCUGUUGAUGCUGCAUCUGCUACCCCCGACCUCAAAAGACAAGAGGGCUGCAAAGAUCGCUGUCUCUCAAGCUGCUGACCAUCUGGUGAAAUAUAUGAAGGUAUGUUCUCUUAUUUUGGUUGUGCUUUUCUGUGCCACUCUCCUUUUAUCUAGCACAGUGCCUCCUUGCCAUACACACAGCCCCUGCAAGCCCCUCUCCCACCCCUUGCUUUCUGACAGUUUCACCAAGGUGAUUGGAGGUGCAUUGCAGACAGCAGCUGUAUCGUAACCAAUCAGCAUGUUUGCUCAAUCUGAGUGCAAUAAUGGAGGCUACUUUGUCUUUGCGUUGUGUGACAGAAAUGAAUGGCUGUGGUUUCCCCUAUGUUCUUUCUUUCAGGUGGGGACGAGCUUGGUGACCUUCCUUGCGCAAGUUGGACGUGAACAGCCCUUCCUCCUCUGUGUCGGCGAACAAAAGAAGAUCAUCCAGAAAUUCUACAUCAUCGUUGACCAGAAGGCCGUUCCGUGCAAGACCCAAACAUCAGUGGCAGCUUUCGAUGAGCUCUUCAAGGCACACUACGUCUUCGGCGUGUCCUAUGACAAAGCUUUGGGUAGUUUCUACACGUUCAUUCAAACCACAGUGUAUAAUAUUGAUGUAGGGAAUGCAAAGGAGAGCCCAAGGGUCAAGGAGAUUAGAGCAAGGCUGCUUAACAGAGACACUUGAAUUGAUACACAUCUUUGGGCUUAAAGAUGUUUACUUGUUUCAUUUGUAAAGUACACCACAGAAGUUGUGCAUUGCUUUGUCAACAUUUUAAGUUCCAUCAGGAAGGACAUUGCGUUUGAAAUGCGGAGAUCCUGAGUGUUCCUCCGUUUUUGGCACUUAUUCUGGCUUUAAGAAGCACUUGGUUCGUGUACAUGGUGACUGUGUUACUCCAAAUACCAUUGACAAUGUUGAGACUUUGAGCAAUAAUGAUGUUGAACCUUCAUGUUGUCAGUCAUUCGGUACAGACUCUCCUACUACUCAGGUUCCUAUUGAGAGGAGGCAAUUGCUGGACAUGUGUGGGUCUGUUGGAGCUCAGUUACAGGCAUCGGGGGUUGCUGAAAGUACUGUUCAAUCUAUGGUUGGUUCAAUGGAAGAACUUGUGAAUGACAUCCAUGCUCAAGCAAGGGAAGCUGUACUAAAAAGUAUUUCAUCAGAGACUCAAGGUCAAGACCUAGGUGAAAAAGCUGGGGAUUGUUUUGAUCAGCUUGAAAAUCCUUUCUCAGUCUUGAACACAGGAGCCAAGCGGCAGAGGUAUUUUGAGGAAAAAUGGGAAAUAGCUGAGCCUGUAGAGCAUGUUCUUGGAGUGCGGUUUGAUGUACGCUGAGAUGGAACACCUGGUGUGUUCAGUCAAGCUCCAGUAAAUGAUACGUUUAUUGAUGUACCUAUCUUAGGAACUCUGAAGUCUAUGUUUAAGAACAGUGAAGUGUGUAAAAGUUUCCAGCAGGUAAGAGAACAUCAAGAAGGUACUUACAAAGACAUUAAUGAUGGUUCAUACUUCAGAAAUCAUUGUCUAUUUUCACAACAAGAAUAUGCUCUACAGAUUCAGCUGUACUAUGACGAUUUUGAAACUGCCAAUCCUUUAGGCUCAAAAAAGAGAAUACAUAAACUUGGCUGUGUUUAUUUUAUUUUAAGAAACCUACCACCAAAAUUGAACUCUGUGUUGAUGAAUAUUCAUCUUGUUGCUCUCUUUCACUCAGAGGACUUAAAGAAAUAUGGAUUUGAUGAAAUCCUAAAGCCACUUGUAAAUGAUUUCAAAGUUUUGAAAACCGAAGGAAUUCAAAUCUCCUUUUCAGACACAGUGAAUAUUGUGUUCUCACCAAUUGUAACAAAUGGUAUGACAUAUUAUUUGAAGCAUUUGAAUUGUUUUCACCACAAACUGUUUAAGUCUGUUUCCAGAUAGAAACUUGAUUCCCAAACACCACUUCAUGAUACAUUAUCCGAGGUGUGUUUGCAGAAUCAGUCCACUUCUACACACAUGGUGCAUGAGAUUUGAAGGGAAACACAACUUCUUCAAAAGGUCUGUUAAGAAUUUUAAGAACAUCACUAAGACUUUAGCAAAGAAACAUCAGCAUCAUUUGGCUUUUCAUUGGGAGAGUUUUUAUUUUCAACGGUUUCAGUUUGGUCCCAUUAAAAUGGAAAUGAUCAACAGUUUGGAGGGUAGUGAUAUUUUAACUGAAAUAUUGCGUUGAAGUUUAUACUCUGAUGUUUCCACAACUAGUUGGGUGAAGAACUAUGGAAGCGAGUAUCACAUUGGUAUGUUUGUUUGCUCAGGUACAGAAAGUGAAAUGCCUGUAUUCAAGAAGAUCAUUAAUGUGAUUGUAGAAGAUGACCAAGCUUUUCUUUUGACCUCGAAUGUUGCUACGUUGUGUUUUGAUGAUCACUUAAAUGCAUUCAGCAUUGAAGAAAUAAGUGAUGCAUUUACUGUGAUAUGUGUAGAAGACCUGGUUUACCAUAGACCUCAUGACAGACAGUUUUCGUAUGACACGGAUGAUGAGAGAACAUGCAUUGUCCCAUACUGUCACAUUGUAUGACUCGCAUUUUGUUUUUGAUGUGUGUAGAAGUGCUGCUUUACCAUCGGCCGUACAUCAGACUGUUUUUGUAUCAUACUGAUAGAGAGCACAUUGUCACAAGUUGUGUCAUGUUUACCUGUUCAAUGUGAGUCAGGGUAAUGUCACGUGUUGAAUGUGGUGUACAUGUUGAGAUUAAAAGAAAUAACAGCAGUUUCUGUGCUGUGUUUAUUUUAGUUGUAAGUACACUAAGG